GUCCUGUGACUGCGUACCUUUUGUAUAAUGGGUCAGCGACUUAAUUUUAGUAGCAAGGUUAACCAUCUAGGGGAGCCGUAGGGAAACCGAGUCUUAACUGGGCGUCAUAGUUGCUAGGAUUAGACCCGAAACCGAGUGAUCUAGCCAUGGGCAGGUUGAAGAUUGAGUAACAUCAAUUGGAGGACCGAACCGACUAAUGUUGAAAAAUUAGCGGAUGACUUGUGGCUAGGGGUGAAAGGCCAAUCAAACUCGGAGAUAGCUGGUUCUCCCCGAAAGCUAUUUAGGUAGCGCCUCGGACGAAUACUACUGGGGGUAGAGCACUGUUAAGGCUAGGGGGUCAUCCCGACUUACCAACCCUUUGCAAACUCCGAAUACCAGUAAGUACUAUCCGGGAGACACACGGCGGGUGCUAACGUCCGUCGUGAAGAGGGAAACAACCCAGACCGCCAGCUAAGGUCCCAAAGUUAUAGCUAAGUGGGAAACGAUGUGGGAAGGCUCAGACAGCCAGGAUGUUGGCUUAGAAGCAGCCAUCAUUUAAAGAAAGCGUAAUAGCUCACUGGUCGAGUCGGCCUGCGCGGAAGAUUUAACGGGGCUAAGCUAUACACCGAAGCUGCGGCAAUGUGCU
rnacentral:rRNA from 2 species